AAAUUGAAGAGUUUGAUCAUGGCUCAGAUUGAACGCUGGCGGCAGGCCUAACACAUGCAAGUCGAGCGGAAACGAGUUAACUGAACCUUCGGGGAACGUUAACGGCGUCGAGCGGCGGACGGGUGAGUAAUGCCUAGGAAAUUGCCCUGAUGUGGGGGAUAACCAUUGGAAACGAUGGCUAAUACCGCAUGAUGCCUACGGGCCAAAGAGGGGGACCUUCGGGCCUCUCGCGUCAGGAUAUGCCUAGGUGGGAUUAGCUAGUUGGUGAGGUAAGGGCUCACCAAGGCGACGAUCCCUAGCUGGUCUGAGAGGAUGAUCAGCCACACUGGAACUGAGACACGGUCCAGACUCCUACGGGAGGCAGCAGUGGGGAAUAUUGCACAAUGGGCGCAAGCCUGAUGCAGCCAUGCCGCGUGUGUGAAGAAGGCCUUCGGGUUGUAAAGCACUUUCAGUCGUGAGGAAGGUAGUGUGUUUAAUAGAUGCAUUAUUUGACGUUAGCGACAGAAGAAGCACCGGCUAACUCCGUGCCAGCAGCCGCGGUAAUACGGAGGGUGCGAGCGUUAAUCGGAAUUACUGGGCGUAAAGCGCAUGCAGGUGGUUUGUUAAGUCAGAUGUGAAAGCCCGGGGCUCAACCUCGGAAUAGCAUUUGAAACUGGCAGACUAGAGUACUGUAGAGGGGGGUAGAAUUUCAGGUGUAGCGGUGAAAUGCGUAGAGAUCUGAAGGAAUACCGGUGGCGAAGGCGGCCCCCUGGACAGAUACUGACACUCAGAUGCGAAAGCGUGGGGAGCAAACAGGAUUAGAUACCCUGGUAGUCCACGCCGUAAACGAUGUCUACUUGGAGGUUGUGGCCUUGAGCCGUGGCUUUCGGAGCUAACGCGUUAAGUAGACCGCCUGGGGAGUACGGUCGCAAGAUUAAAACUCAAAUGAAUUGACGGGGGCCCGCACAAGCGGUGGAGCAUGUGGUUUAAUUCGAUGCAACGCGAAGAACCUUACCUACUCUUGACAUCCAGAGAACUUUCCAGAGAUGGAUUGGUGCCUUCGGGAACUCUGAGACAGGUGCUGCAUGGCUGUCGUCAGCUCGUGUUGUGAAAUGUUGGGUUAAGUCCCGCAACGAGCGCAACCCUUAUCCUUGUUUGCCAGCGAGUAAUGUCGGGAACUCCAGGGAGACUGCCGGUGAUAAACCGGAGGAAGGUGGGGACGACGUCAAGUCAUCAUGGCCCUUACGAGUAGGGCUACACACGUGCUACAAUGGCGCAUACAGAGGGCGGCCAACUUGCGAAAGUGAGCGAAUCCCAAAAAGUGCGUCGUAGUCCGGAUUGGAGUCUGCAACUCGACUCCAUGAAGUCGGAAUCGCUAGUAAUCGUGGAUCAGAAUGCCACGGUGAAUACGUUCCCGGGCCUUGUACACACCGCCCGUCACACCAUGGGAGUGGGCUGCAAAAGAAGUAGGUAGUUUAACCUUCGGGGGGACGCUUACCACUUUGUGGUUCAUGACUGGGGUGAAGUCGUAACAAGGUAGCGCUAGGGGAACCUGGCGCUGGAUCACCUCCUUAUACGAUGAU
rnacentral:rRNA from 1 species